GCUGUCUCAGUACAACCAAAUGGUCGGUGCCUUCUUCUUUGACCAAAAGUAGCAAUCCAAAACCCUAAACGAGAUAAGCCAUGGAUAAUUCAUUACAUACAGAGAUGAGAGAGGAGGCAAGUUGUUCUCGUUGUUGACCUAGCUCUAGCUAACACACAGAGAAAGAGUGAGGGUUUUUGCUUACAAGUUCCAACAUACCUCCCUCGAAGCCUCUCUCUGUCUCUCUCUCUCUCCU
rnacentral:misc_RNA from 1 species